rnacentral:rRNA from 1 species
UACGGAGGGUGCAAGCGUUAUCCGGAUUUACUGGGUUUAAAGGGUGUGUAGGCGGGCUUUUAAGUCAGUGGUGAAAUCUCCGGGCUCAACCUGGAAACUGCCAUUGAUACUAUUAGUCUUGAAUUUUGUUGAGGUAAGGCGGAAUUAAGUCAUGUAGCGGUGAAAUGCAUAGAAUAUGACUUAGAACAACCAAUUGCGAAGGCAGCUUGCUAAAAGCAAAAUAUUGACGCUGAAGGCACUGAAAGCGUGGGGAUCAAACAGG